GAGCUUCCUCAUGGCUUCUGCUGCUACACAACUUAGGCUUUGACAUGGUCCAUGAUGGCCCCUCCAAUCCCUUUCUCCAUCAGCACCUCCUUUCAGCUUCAGCUCAUACGGAUGCCUGAUUUCCUCCAUCUAAAUUCUCAAGAGCUAGAAUCUGAUGGGUCCAAUAAAACGUUUUGCUCCCAACUUUCCACAGGUCACUGGCUAGCCUAGAAUUGGACUCUGGAUCAGCUCGAGGGGCUGGGGGUACAAAUGAUCUGCGUGAAGGCUGACCUCAGCAGGGGAGGAGGCCAAGGACUGGCAGGCAGUUCAAGAGGCCUGAGAGGUUUUCACCUUGAAGAUGCCAUCCCUCCCCCGUUAGGUCAGAAGUAUAUCAAGAAUGGGAACUUGAAAUCCUCACACCAAAUGUGACGUGGUAGAAAAACAGAGUGGUAUAGUAAUGCGAGUAGGAUCUGGACUCCCAAUUUCCUAUCAGAAUUCACAUUCCUGGUGGACUUAUUUGCUGUGGUUUGUGGGAUGUUGAACAAGUCACUUGCCUCUCACAGUCUCAGCUUCUGUAUCUGUAAAAUAAGACAAGAAUUAUAGUGACCCCAUAGGCUUGCUGUGAGGAUCACCUGAGCCAUACAUUCCAAAGUGCUCCGUGAACUCAUCAGCACCUCACAGAACAUCACUUGCUGCUCUAGUGAUGCCAGUAGGUGCUCAGUAAAUGCAAGCCCCCAUGCAGCCCCUGGACGGGGAUGCUGGAGGCUCCAGGGUUAGCCAACAGCAUUAACCUGCUUGUCCGUCAAGACUUUUAUAAGAGCUGCUAACAGGCAGGAAAAUUGCAGGAUUUGAGUUUCACCUCCUCCCCUUAACCAGGUCACCUUCUGGAGGAGGUGCUAAUGAGCAGCAAAAUGACCAAAAUGUGGGCAGUAAGGGAGGCAGAGAAGGAAACAGCCAAGGAGCUUGGACAGCCCUCUGCUAGCUACCCAGCUCUUGAAGCUAGGCCUAACAGGCAUCCCAGAGCCCAGCACAAGGCCCCUCUUGGCACCAAGGGGAGAAUAACCAUGCAAGGGCCAGAGAUGUGGUUUUUGUUCCGGUGAAGCUUUGGGAAAAAACCCACAUCAGGCCCCUCUCUCUCUGGCCAUAUAAACUUGGAGUCUCCAGCCUCCACAGUGGGCACAGUGGUGCUUUAAUAAUUGCUCUUUCUCUUAAGCAGGUUCCAUUUUAACUGACCACCUUCUUGACAAAUAUUGAGCCACAGAAUGUUCUUGACGAGUGGCAACCUAAGAGUGCCAUCAGCAGUGGAGGGUCUCAAGUCUUCCAUUCCAGACCCACGGCCAGAGCAGGCAGGUCCAGGAGGGGCAGGCACGGGACUGGCCGCUUCCCAGACAUCCAUGAAUAGAUGUGGCCUCCUGUGAGUCUUCCCUUACCAUCUGCGGUGUCAGCUUCAGGGCUCCAGGGCUCCAGGGAGAACCUGAGGCCUUGAAGGAGCAGGCUGGUGAGCCCCAGCAUUCACUAACCACGACAUCUGCCAACAAACUUCACCCAUCAGUGGCUCUCAAGUCUGGCUGCACAUGAGAACCACCCGGGGCGGCAAUGCUGCUGCCACCUUGGAAGGUUGCUGUGUACUGAAUCGAGAAAAAGUCUUCAUGUGGGGCAGAGUGUUCCUUCCAGACAAGCCAUCUCUGAAUCCAAGUAUGAAGUGAGAUUCAGACAGGACAGCCCGUACAGUCAUCUGUAGGAUUCGAGCCAGAUGGCAGGAGUGAGAAUGACCUUUGAUGUGGAUGGUUGGCAGACACCCAGCAAGAGACCCCUCCUCGCCCCCAGAGACUUCCCCAUGGAGCUGCAUCUCCCAGCAGAGGAAAGCCCAAGGAGAUAACUCAUCCCGAGAAAUAAUGUGCGACUGACUCCUAAGAGGAGAAUGGCUCCAGAAUCUUAUCUAAAUGUGUAGCAAAUGAAGGUCUAUAACAGAGAGAAUUGAAAGCAAGUGUGUGUACAGAAACUUGUACACAAAUGUUCGUGGCAUCAUUAUUGAUACAACUCAAAG
rnacentral:lncRNA from 10 species